AUCCUGAACUUGAUGGGUGCUCUGAAAGCAUAUGGCGGCAAAGAUUUCAUUUUCUUAUCAACCAACAAUAUGGCGGAUGAGAAUGAAGAUUAUUUACAAGUUAGUUCAAUUUACUGUUAAACUGAUAUAUCGAUUAGAAACCUCGAUGGAGUAAUAAAGUGUAAACCCAUUUUUUAUCACAAAAACAUACAAAAAAAACGUUAAGGAUCAAAUAAGUCGACAAAAUUAAGUAAAUACCAUCAAUUUGAACAGCAUAUCGAAUCCAAUUUAGAAAACAAAAAAAAAACAAGAGGAAUAUUAUCUUACUAAAGUCAAAACAGCUGAAUAACGGUCGGCCGUUUGGGUAAAACGUGAAAGUGGGUUCCUCGUCGAUACCCUAGAAAAUAUCGAUGGAUAUUUGCAAAAU
rnacentral:lncRNA from 1 species